CUCCUCUUAGGGUCACAUCUGGAGUUUUUUUAGUAUUCCACCAGUCUUGAUUUCAGAGGGAGAGUCAAGCAGAGGCCUACCCAUUCCAUUCCUAGCUUGGGCAGUGGCUAGUGAGUGGAAGGCAAUCUGCUACAAGU
rfam:Ornithorhynchus anatinus chromosome 2, whole genome shotgun sequence.